rnacentral:rRNA from 1 species
AACGAACGCUGGCGGCAUGCCUAACACAUGCAAGUCGAACGAAACCUUCGGGUCUCGUGGCUCACGGGUGCGUAACGCGUUGGAACCUGCCCUUAGGUUCGGAAUAACUCCCCGAAAGGGGUGCUAAUACCGGAUAAUGUCUUCGGACCAAAGAUUUAUCGCCUUUGGAUGGGCCCGCGUUGGAUUAGCUAGUUGGUAGGGUAAAAGCCUACCAAGGCGACGAUCCAUAGCUGGUCUGAGAGGAUGAUCAGCCACACUGGGACUGAGACACGGCCCAGACUCCUACGGGAGGCAGCAGUGGGGAAUAUUGGACAAUGGGCGAAAGCCUGAUCCAGCCAGGCCGCGUGAGUGAUGAAGGCCUUAGGGUUGUAAAGCUCUUUUACCCGGGAUGAUAAUGACAGUACCGGGAGAAUAAGCUCCGGCUAACUCCGUG